UUUACCGUGUCUCUCUCUGGAUCCCGUUUCCUGUUUAAAUCAAUUUGGUGCAUUCCUGGCCACUGAUUCACAUGUACCAGAGUAUGUCUCAUCCCUGAUGCACCGCCGCAUUUGCCCCCAUAGGUCAAGUAGGCCUGGAAAUCCAACCACUCUUCUCCCUUCGGUGAGAUUUCGGCGAGGCAUAUGAUUGGUUGUUUCACUAUACUUAUCUUAUCUGGCAAGGUGGAUGAGGGGCAGUAGCAGGGUACACUCAUAUGAGGUCUAGGAGGGGCGAGGCCACAGACCACCACAGCAUUGCAGAGAUGGUCAUAGGGGACAGAGUGGUCGGUUGCACCCGUGCCAUUAGUACAUCAAUGAGGAUCUUUCUGAGAACAACGAGCUGAAGACAAUGUAGUUGUUACAUAUGUCUUCAUG